UACGGAGGGUGCAAGCGUUGUCCGGAAUCACUGGGCGUAAAGGGCGCGUAGGCGGCUCAUGAAGGCUGUGGUGAAAGUCCGGGGCUCAACCUCGGAUCGGCCGUGGCGACUCGUGGGCUGGAGCACUGUAGAGGCGGGUGGAAUUCCGGGUGUAGCGGUGGAAUGCGUAGAGAUCCGGAAGAACACCAGUGGCGAAGGCGGCCCGCUGGGCAGUGGCUGACGCUGAGGCGCGACAGCUAGGGGAGCGAACGGG
rnacentral:rRNA from 1 species